CAUCUUUUUUACAUCAUGGCAACCAAAAGUAUUCCAAGUGUGGCCUUACCAAGGCAUCCCUCAAUGGCUUGAUAUCUCCUUGAGCAUUGUAAAAACCUGAGAUCAUUAGUGAUGUCACCCAGAUGGCCCUGACCCCUCAAACCCACAGCAGCACUGGCCAGGGAUGCCAAUGGCUGCCACAGAAAUCUAUUAAAUUCCAGAAUACAAAGAAAAGGAAACCGCAUGAUAGAUUAAAUUGUCUCUAGGCUUACUCUGGGCUGGCUCACUGAACACCCGUUUUAUCAAUGGAUACUUCUGCUCAAAGAAGCAGGAUCAUUUGCACCAGUUAAAGCCAAAGACAACCUGAUGAUAGCAGAAAUUGUAUAUUAACAAGCUUUCAACAGUGUCCUUCUCCCUGAAGUUGAAGUCUGCCUGUUUUCACUGUAUACUUGUGCAAUGGCUAGAAGCAAAUAGUGAGAAGUGGAAAUGAGUUUCCCUAUCUUCCAUGCAAGUAUUAUGAAUGAAAGAAAGGUUACAACCUAUAAAGAUGGCAUUGUAUUGAUUGCGUUGUAAACCAUCCAGAGUCACUUUGGACUUUGAGAUGAACAGAAUAGACAUUUAAUUAUUUAUACAUUUAAUAAAGAUAUUUUCCUGUCUGUAUUUUG